rnacentral:rRNA from 1 species
UACAGAGGUCUCAAGCGUUGUUCGGAUUCAUUGGGCGGAAAGGGUGUGUAGGUGGCGCCGUAAGUCGGGUGUGAAAUUUCGGAGCUUAACUCCGAAACUGCAUUCGAUACUGCGGUGCUUGAGGACUGGAGAGGAGACUGGAAUUUACGGUGUAGCGGUGAAAUGCGUAGAUAUCGUAAGGAAGACCAGUGGCGAAGGCGGGUCUCUGGACAGUUCCUGACGCUGAGGCACGAAGGCCAGGGGAGCAAACGGG